AGGCGCCAGUGCAGUCUAACCUCGCAGCCAUCAAACAUCGAUGAAGACAAGUUUGCCCAUCCCGAAACAAGAAGUGAUCUUGUACUCACUGGUGGCUACCAUUGGAAGUGUUUGGGUUUGAGCUAAGAUGGACCGAUGAUGGGCAUUGAACUCGAAGGUCUCCACAAACAACUAUUCUCUGUUCUCUGAGCUCAUCAAAUCGACCGAAGCGGACCUCGU